GACGAACGCUGGCGGCGCGCUUAACACAUGCAAGUCGAACGGAAAGGCCUGCUUUCCCUUGUGGAUUGCGGGUACUCGAGUGGCGAACGGGUGAGUAACACGUGAGUGAUCUGCCCCCAACUUGGGUAUAAGCCUGGGAAACUGGGUCUAAUUCCCGAUAGGACUGCAGGGUGGUGCCUGUGGUGGAAAACGAUUUUCUAGUGGUUGGGGAUGAGCUCGCGGCCUAUCAGCUUGUUGGUGGGGUAAUGGCCUACCAAGGCGGCGACGGGUAGCCGGCUUGAGAGGGUGGACGGCCACAUUGGGACUGAGAUACGGCCCAGACUCCUACGGGAGGCAGCAGUGGGGAAUAUUGCACAAUGGGCGGAAGCCUGAUGCAGCGACGCCGCGUGGGGGAUGACGGCCUUCGGGUUGUAAACUCCUUUCGACCGCGAGGAAGCCACCUGGUUGGAAGGGUGGUGACGGUAGUGGUAGAAGAAGCACCGGCUAACUACGUG
rnacentral:rRNA from 1 species